rnacentral:sRNA from 1 species
GCCGGGUGUGGUGGCGCACGCCUGUAAUCCCAGCGACUCGGGAGGCAGAGGCAGGAGGAUCGAAAAUUCAAAGCCAGCCUUAGAAAUGGCAAGGCGCUAAACAACUCAGCGAGACCCUGUCUCCA